CACAUUUUGAAUUUGUUAGAUGUAUUUUUGUUCAUAUAUAUACAAGUGAAUUCUAUAAAUUUAUGAUACUUUUUAAUGAGUGUUCAAGUUUGAAUUUUAGAUAAUAUACACAGUUUGUUUUUAAAACAUAAACAGAUUUGACCUCAAGCAGAAUUGUAUAGUGCUGUUUUAUCAAUGGUGUAAAGUGAAGGCACAAAUACCAUUACAAAGAAAGUCUGUUUUUGAAUAUAACCACAUUUUGUUUGCUUAUUAUUUUAAAAUUAUAAUAUAAACAGCUAUUAUUUUGUAUUGAUUUAAGAUCAAAUUGAUCAAAUUGAUAUUAGGCAUUGAUGUUAAAACCUAGAUUAAACACAUGCAUGUAAUCAAUGUCGGGAUACAAAUUAUGCAAAAUACUCAUUUGUUUACCAAAAUCUCAGCAAUUUUGGUUAAAUGGUUUACACAAACAAAAAACCAGUUUCGUCAACAUUGAUGAGGCCCUUAAAAUAGAAUUUUUAACUAUAAAUGGCUGAAAGAUUGUCAAUAUUAUUUUAGACUUCAUUCUUGGUUCUGUACAUAAAGUGUUAUAAAUGUUAAAAUAGAUAUAUUGAAGUAUAAAACUCUCAUACAAAAAAGACUUUAUGAAAGCAUCAUUUACAG
rnacentral:lncRNA from 1 species